GCCAUCUCAGGGCCCGCCGUUCCCAGGUGCGGCGCGGGUGCCCGCGAGCGCUCCGGGCGAGGAAGGGAGGACGGGGACCCAGACCCUCCCAAGGCUGAUGAGACGUUGCAGGACCACGCUGUUUCCCAAAUGUAAACUUGAAAACGAAGGGAACGAAACUUUUCAUAGAUUUUGUUCCUCAGAGAAGGGUGUGCUGAGGAACCCCCUCACCCAAGGACAGCGCGGGGGCAGCCCUCUCCCCGCCCCGCAGCGCCAGCCUGGGCUCGGUUAGUUUUUUGUCUCCUUCAAGGGAGGGAUUGCAGUGUCGCCGCUGAAGUGACGUCUCGGCUCACGUCGCGGUUAUUACCGAGGGGUUCCGGGGAACCCGAGGCUUACAGAUGAAGUGUGACCGAAGCUGAGGGGUGGUUGACAUUAAAACCCAGAGGUUCAACCUCCAGAACAUCCCUGGCCCCAGCAACCGCUUCUUGGUAUGCUUUGCACCACCUGUUCCUCAGUGGGAGGCACGGAAAAGGACACUUCCCAAAUUGCACGUGCAGUUUGCAGAGCCUCCCCGACCCAUCCCUUAUUUCCUUAUCAAUAAUUUGCGUGGGAUUGUCUCUCAAGAAUGUAAGUGUGUCAGGAACCCUGACACUGUCAUGAAGAGCAAGAAGGAAAAACUCAGAGAAUUCAAACUCAGCUGGAAACUGCUGGAGGAGCUGCCAGACGCAAUCAAGGAAGAGGAGAAACACUGGGGCCUGAAAAAAGAGAGCAUGAAACAUACCUGUAUGCACGGUGCAGCGGAAAAGGGGAGAAACGGAAAUCUCUCCACGAUGCAGACACAAGUACAGGUAUGUUUAUGUGCACGUUCUGGGGUGGGGGUGGGAGGCCCAAGGAAAAGAUCUCAC